AUACGAUCAGACAGAUACAUCAUUGAUCACAUAUAAGCCCACAACAAGCCCAACAUCACCACGGCAGGUGCGCUCUCUCUCGCACAUUCACACAAUCACUCCAACUUCUCCAACUCCAAGGCAAGGCUGUUUCACUAAGACCACAAACAACCUCAACUAACCAGCCUACAUAUCCACAACAAUGCACAACAAUCAGUUCUAUACAUUGCGUCUAUCUUCUGUUUGGCGCACUUGGCUAAUUUGCAUACUUGCUCAGGACUGUCGGCUCCGCUUGUCAAAAAAAUAGAACGUAUUUGUGAAUAAAUGCUUUGAAUUAUGAAUACUGGACUUGGUGAGCUUAAAUAGGCUACAUUUAAGUGACCUUUAGUGAGAUGGCCUAAAACGGAAUACAAAUGAAUUAUUCUAGGACAUAGGCUUUCAGGAUCAAUUCAGAGGUUCAACUGUUUGGGAUUCAUUUUGCUUAGCCAGUGAAAGUGAUCUGUAUUAUAUACAGUGUAUUUGAAUCAGAAUCAGAAUCUCUUUAUUGUCAUUGCACAAAGUGCAACGAAAUUGGGGUAGAGGCACUCAAAAUGAGUGUUUUUUUUAAAAAAAAAAUGCCUCCUCUUUAGACCUGUUAGCUCUGUAUGCGAACUGGUGGGGGUCAGAAGUGGUUGGCAGGCUUGUUGUGAUGUGGCUCCGGACCAGUUUCUUGAAACACUUCAUGAUGACUGGUGUAAGGGCCACCGGUAGUCGUUGAGGCUGCUGACAGUAGUCUUCCUUGGUAGAGGAAUGAUUGUGGAGGACUUCAGGCAGUGUGGGAUCAAGCACUGGGACAGGGACUGGUUGAAUAUAUCAGUGAAGACAUCGGCCAGUUGGUCAUUGCAGUCUCUCAGCACUCUCCCCGUCACACCAUCCGGUCCAGCAGCUUUCCUAGGAUUCACUGCCCGUAGUGUGCGCCUCACCUCAUGUGCCUGCACUGGGAAGAUGUCAUUGCUGGGGGCUGGUGGAUGUGAUGGGGCCACCUCCAGUGUCUCAGCCUCGAAGCGGGCAAAGAAGCAGUUUAGUUCCUCAGACAGCGAGGCAUCACCGUUGGUUACUGUGAGGUUGCUGGACUUGUAGUUUGUGUUGUGUUGGACCCCCUGCCGUGAGUUGUUGCUGCUGAAGUGGUCCUCAAUCUUCCUCUUAUAUGCUGUCUUGGCCUCCCUGAUGCCUCUCUUCAGGCAGGUUCUGGCAGAGCUGUAAUGUGCCUCAUCUCCAGACCUGAAGGCGGUGUCCCUCUCCUUCAGCAGGGUCUGGAUGUCUUUUGUAAUCCAGGGUUUUUGGUUUUGAUACACCCGGAUACGCCUGUCCACAGUGACAGUGUCAACACAAUGCUUGGUGUAGCAGAGUACGGUGGAGGUGUACUCUUCCAAGUCCUGAUUUUUUUAAAUGUCCCAGUUGGUAUUUCCAAAACAGUCCUGCAGCUGCUGUGCGGCAUCAUCAGGCCAGGUUUCAACAGUCUUUGUUACUUGGGGGACUUUUUACCUAAUUGUGUUGUAUGCUGGUAUCAAUAUGUUGGUUAACCUGUAUUAUAUACAUUGUAUGUUGGCUGAACCUGUAUUAUAUACAGUGUAUGUGUGUUUCCCUCAGAUCGCAGCCAUAAUCAGUGGCGCAACCCAUUUUUAUUCAAACCAAGCAAAUUAAUUUCUCUAAAAUAAUCACACAUACACAAUGUCAUCAUGGCUCACUAUCACUUAAAUAAUCCCUUCAUACAGAGUACUCUAGCAUUAACAAACGUAUCCAUCAAAACGUGCUGCUGCUGAUUCUGGUGAUAAUGGAAAAAAAUUACAUAACUGUUUUUAGAGUAGACACACAAAUAUAAUCUCUUCAAGUAGGCCUACUAAACUGACUGUUUUCCCUAAAUUCAAAUCAAUCUAAGAAACUGAUCGAUCAAUACUGUGUGCUGCGGAUUCUGGUGAACAUGAAAAAGAUGAACAUCAUAAGGCAAGGCAAGGCAACUUUAUUUAUGUAGCACUUUUCAUACACAAGGCAGACUCAAAGCGCUUCACAUCGAAACAUUGUCAUUCAAUAAAAUAAAAUAAUAGAUAAGUAAAAGAAAACAUAUGCAAAGAAAUUAGUCAAAUAGAAAGUGCAAUGAAUAUAAGAUCAGAUCAACAGUCUCUUUGGUACCCACUUCGGGACUCCAACCCGACCUAAAGCAAUUUGGUACCCAUGUCGGGACUCCAUACCGACCUAAAGGAACUUGGUCCUUUCUCUGGGACUCCAACCCGGAUUCUAGAAUUCUAUUCUAGGACUGUAACCCAGAUUCUAGGACACACGUCUGGACUCUAACCAAGAACCAAAGGCCUUAUUCUGAGACUCCAACCCAGACAGACGUCGGGACUCCAACCCAGACAGAACUCUGGCCUUUCUCUGGGACUCCAACCUGACCUAAAGGAACUUGGUCCUUUCUCUGGGACUCCAACCCGACCUAAAGGAACUUAGUCCUUUCUCUGGGACUCAAAACCAAAUGCUAUGACUCUAACCCAGACAGAACUUGGGUCUCAAACCCUUAUCCUUUUUCUCUGGUAUCAGAUCAAAUCUUUCUGGUAAAAAUAGAAAAUAAGGGGAAAGUUAAAAAGGCAUUUUAGUAAUAAAAUAGAAAAUAAAGGCAAAGUUAAAAACGAUCCAAUGUAUUUAAGAUUGAGCUUUUAGCAGAAAGCUAAAGCUUUCUGCUAAAAGUCUUCAUUCUUGUUUUAAAGGUGCUCAGAGUUGGGGCAAGUCUUAAAUCCUCAGGGAGUUUAUUCCAGCUAUUUGUUGCAUGGUAACUAAAUCCUGCUUUCCCAUGCUUCGUGUUUACUCUGGGGAUAAUUAACAGAUUGGUCUCAGAAGAUCUUAGUGGUCUAGAAGGCUUAUGUAGUGGAAGCAUGUAAGUCCAAUAUUUUGGGCCUAAACCAUGUAGGUUAGCAACAUGAUUUUAAAAUCAAUUCUCUGACCUACAGGAAGCCAAUGUCACGAUUUAAGAAUUGGUGUAAUCUGUUCAAAUUUUUUGGUCUUUGUUAGAACUCUAGCAGCAGCAUUCUGAACAAGCUGAAGCCUAAAGGUACGGCAACACUGAAUGCGUUACGCGCGUUAGAGGCGUAGAAAAUCUGCAUUUUUGCAUAGGGAACCAUUGGUUUAGGCCCGUAGAUGCUUUACACGCACUAAAGCAGCACGGCAAAAGUUCAGUAUUUUUAAACUCUGCACGUUGGUGCGUUGGCCGCGUUAUUUAGGCGCGUAAAACGCGCCCAACGCACCAACGGGCAGAGUUUAAAAAUACUGAACUUUUGCCGCGCCUACGCGCGACACUUAGCCACGAUAGCCAAUCAGCGUUGAGCUUGACCCGACGUCACUGGCAGAGAGGACGGAGGACGCACAGAAGCAGAAAGAAGAUGGAAGACAAAGUAAUUGUGUCGGUUUAUGCUCGUCCUAUCCUGUACGACACCACGAUGGUGUCGUACAGGGAUAGAAGCAAGACCGCCGUGGGCGAGGAGACUGGGCUUCCUGGUAAGUUCAGUGAAUAAUGUGUAUUUUGCUUGGCUUCAGCCAUGGGUUGUGUUUACUAUGAAACAAGUUAGCGCCGGUUAGCGGUAGCACCAGUUAGCACUAAUAUAAAGUGAUAGUACUACAACAGACUGUCCCGCUUGUCAGGCUACACAACUUAAUAUGUAUAUUAUGUUCUUGGACGUAUGUCGCAGGAAGUGGAAGUCUCUCAGGGACAGAUACUGUAUAUGAAGGAGAAAAAGAGGGAGAAAGAGGAGGGAAAAAAGAGCGGGUCAGUGGCAAGGACAGUGAAGAAGUGGAAAUUCUUUGCGGACCUGUCCUUCCUCGACCCAUUUGUCACACCGAGGGAGACCAGCAGCAACCUUCCUCGGGUGGCAGAGGAUGAGGUAGAGGAUGACGGGGCUGCAGAGACUUUACUGUCAGGGGCAGGAGAAGCAGUUGAGGAGUGUGAUGAGGCAGCAGCAGCAGCAGGGCCAUCGCACAAUACAGGUUUGUUGACAAGUGAAGACACGUAUACAGCUUCUGCAUUAUGGCCAUAUUCUGUAUUGAGAAAAGGUUUAUUGUGCUGCACGAUUCUGUCUCCGUCUUUAAUGUGCUGUAAUAUAGAUCACUUGUAUAUAUUGCAAGCCCAAAAGAAAAAGAAAAAACCAAGCUCAAUAACAUAGAUCAGCCGUCAGAGAGUGAGUGACUCAGACCCUGACAAUGCUGCUGCUGCUGCUGCUGCUGCUGCUGCUGCUGCUGCUGCUGCUGCUGCUGCUGCUGCCGCCGCCGCCGCUGGCCCUGCCCCUGCCCCACGACCCCUGAGCGGGACGAGGAGGAAGAGAGCCAGGAGGGUACCGGGUGGGAACACCCGAUACAAGAGGCCAUCCUCCAUGCCCUGCAUAGGCAUGCAACAACUCCCCCAACACCCAAGCUCUCAGAGGACGCACAGUUCCUCAACAGCCUACUUCCUUCCCUGGAGAGAUUGCCACGCCAAGUAAAGGAGCAUGUGAAAUUCCAAAUUCACAAGGUCAUAUUUGAAGCCACCCAAUUCACUAUUAAUUUGGAACCUAUAUAAUUAUGCUCCUGCUUAUAAGCAAGAGUGGUGGUGACAAUCUCUCCAGGGAAAGAACUGGGCUGCUGUGACUAAAAAAUAAGCUGUUGUUUGGGAGAAAGGUUGUUAGGUAGAUCUUUUCUCCCAGCUUCCAGAGGCAGAUGUUAACGUUCUUGUUCUUGUGUUCUCAAAUUGUGUUCUGUAUGUUUAAAUUUUUUUUAUGCAAUGUUCAUUUAUAAUAUCUUGUUCUAUGUUGUUUUGUUGUUGUAUUUUAAAAUAAAAUAUUUUUAUUAACUCUU